UUUUUUUCGUAGAGUUUUUUAGGCAUUUUUCAUUUUUAAAACAUUUUAAGCAUUUUUCAUAUAGCUUAGUUGCUGAUUAAAGGUCAAAAUUGGCUAUCCAGCAUGGCCCAACCUUGACCCAGUAUAGUUCACCACACGGCCCAACCAGCCCCGUCUCCCUCAACCUCACUCUCUCCGCUUGUCUAAAAAAAACCUCACUCUCUCCGUUUCCGAUCGAAGUCUAUCCACUCCUUGCCUCAC
rnacentral:lncRNA from 1 species